rnacentral:piRNA from 1 species
CCAUCACUGAAAGUUUUGGGU